rnacentral:rRNA from 1 species
AUUGAACGCUGGCGGCAUGCUUUACACAUGCAAGUCGAACGGCAGCGCGGGCUUCGGCCUGGCGGCGAGUGGCGAACGGGUGAGUAAUGCAUCGGAACGUGCCCAGUAGUGGGGGAUAGCCCGGCGAAAGCCGGAUUAAUACCGCAUACGACCUGAGGGUGAAAGCGGGGGACCGAAAGGCCUCGCGCUAUUGGAGCGGCCGAUGUCGGAUUAGCUAGUUGGUGGGGUAAAGGCUUACCAAGGCGACGAUCCGUAGCUGGUCUGAGAAGACGACCAGCCACACUGGGACUGAGACACGGCCCAGACUCCUACGGGAGGCAGCAGUGGGGAAUUUUGGACAAUGGGGGCAACCCUGAUCCAGCCAUGCCGCGUGCGGGAAGAAGGCCUUCGGGUUGUAAACCGCUUUUGUUCGGGAAGAAAUCCUCUGGGCUAAUACCCCGGGGGGAUGACGGUACCGGAAGAAUAAGCACCGGCCAACUACGUG